rnacentral:rRNA from 1 species
UACGUAGGUGACAAGCGUUGUCCGGAUUUACUGGGCGUAAAGAGCGCGCAGGCGGUCGAUCAAGUCGAGUGUGAAAGCCCCCGACUCAACUGGGGAGGGUCAUUCGAUACUGAUCGACUCGAAGGCAGGAGAGGGUAGUGGAAUUCCCGGUGUAGUGGUGGAAUGCGUAGAUAUCGGGAGGAACACCAGUGGCGAAGGCGACUACCUGGCCUGUUCUUGACGCUGAGGCGCGAAAGCUAGGGGAGCAAACGGG